rnacentral:rRNA from 1 species
GUUGUUGCAGUUAAAAAGCUCGUAGUUGGAUUUCUGGCGGGGACCCGGGUACCCCUGGUGGGUGUGCUCGGGCCCGACCAUCCUUCUGUCAACUUUCGCGCGUCCUUCACCGGUCGGCAAAGGGAUCAGAUAAUUUACCUUGAGAAAAUUAGAGUGUUUCAGGCAGGCUUAGCCGGAAUACAUUAGCAUGGAAUAAUGGAAUAGGACUGAGGUCUCGU